UAGGAAUCUCAGACACAGAAAGGAUAGCUGUGGCUUUCUCUCAAGGAUCUGAGCAUGCAGUAGGUUUUUGCCAUUGAGUUCAUUUGUGGAUCCAGGAGGUCUUGAAAGAGGACAUCAAAGUAACUUGCCAUUGAAGCUUUUUUGCUUGGAGAAUCAUGCAGCUGCGAUGGGAUUGCCUGUGGAAAGGGCCAUGUGGCAGGGAUGUGGAGGUGGCCUCAAGGAGCUGGAGACCUCAGUGAUGCAGUUGUGAGGACCUGGAUUCUUCCAGGCACUUCAUGGGCUCUGAAAGGGACCCCACAGACUACAGCUCUGACUCACACCACGAUUGCAGCCAGUGAGACCCUUGGCAGAAAAUCAGAAAUGGCCCAUUGCUUUCAUUAUACUGUACUAGCCCGUGGGAUUCAGCU